CAGCUGUCUGUGGCUCCACCCAGUGGCUGUAAUUUGAUUUGCAAGAAUCCACUGCUCCCGGUUCAAUACAACCAAUCAGAGCCAAGGGGAGUGUCUGAGAAGUGUCAAUCAUUCUCGUGCGCACCUGCUGGCAGCCCCCCUCCCUCCCGCAGGCGCAGUGUCUGCUCUCACCUGGUCAGAUAGUUAAAGCUUAAACACAAACUGUGAACAAUGGCGGAAAAGCAGCAGAGCUGAAAAAAUGCCCCACCAUUGCCCACAUCAAAGAGAAGAAAUAAGAACAGUGAUGAAGAAAACAGUGUAAAAAGAAAGAAUUGGUCCAAGCCAUAGAGAAAACUAGGAUAAAUAUCAGAGCUUCAUUUCAGAGGUGGAGGGAGCUGCGGGAUUUGUAAUGACUCAAGAGCGACACAGAGUUAGCUGCUUUUCUACUGGACAGGUAAGGACCCCUGCUUAAUAUAUGUUUAAUUCUAUGUUUUAACCACAGGGCUAUGGUGGCGGUGGUGUGGUGGUGGCAGUGGUCAGGGAGGGUAGGCGGGGCUCAUCUGCAUAGAUCCACAGGACUCAGAUCGUGGACAGCUAGAGAUCGAAGGGACGGAGAGCACAAAGUGUGGGCCUAUUACAUCCGCUGCUGUCUUCAAGGGAACGUUUCAUCACAGUUUGUCAAGGGAAAAAACAAACGAACGAAACAACACGUCACACGAGAAUACCAAGCAAAGAGGGACCAGAGGGCUAAAGUCUAUGAGCUGCAUUUUGUUGGAAAAAAUCCAGAGGCAACUUCCGUUUGAAAUCCGGCUCCCGAUGAUGAGUGUGUGAAGAGCAAACCCAUGGUCGUUAGGCGAUGUGAGGCGAGGUAAGGUCAAGCUGUUAAUGGGGAAGGGGGGGGGGGGGGGGGGAGGCGCUGAUACCAUGUUUUUCACAGCCAAGAACAAUUUGGAGGUGAGGUUUAAAUUCCAAUCUGGCUUUCACUGAUCAUUAGAGGCAAAAUGAGCUCCAGCAUCCUUAGCUUUUAGUUCUGGUGUAUCACUAGUUGCUCACAGUAUCAGAUUUUAUAUGACGAUUAAAUCUUUUCCGUCCAAUCUCUACAUUCCUAGCCAAAGAGGGGAGUUUAAACUCUUCUUAAUCCCUGCGUGACUCGCCCUCGUGUCAAUGUGCACUUUACUGGCAGCAGCCAUGCAAAAAAAAAAAAAAUGAAAAAGAAGAACGUUAUCGGAUGGAUCAGCCCUUGAAAACUCCUCACACUCCUCGCACGCUGACACUAACGCAGCCCUUUGCUAGUCUGAGACAGACAGCAGGUGAUCAGCUCGUCUAAGGGUACUUACGAGUCGACAGAUUGAUUGUUUGAUUGAUUGAUUGAUUGAGUGAUUGAUUGAUUGGCUGGUCACUCGCACUGACUUGGUAAAGCCAACGAUAGUGAAGAUGCCACAAAGUACACUAACACUGGCUGUUUUUUUGUUUUUUUUUCUCUAUAUUGCUCCAUUGCCAGUAUCUGCCUCACUGGGCGUACGCAGCAGAGAGGCACUCAAAGAUCCGGGGCCUCAUUUAUCAAACUGAGCACAGAACAAGUUCUAAAUGUGUGUGUAGAAAAUGUCGACACGUCCCCAGAAUGCCAUACAUAGUCAACCACUCGCUUGAAGGGCAACACUACCACCUUUUUGUUUUAAUUGUUCACAGGUCUUGGGGGGGGAGUAGUUCUGCAGAUGUGAAAAAAGUCAUGAAAAGCCUUUUGUGGCUCCACAGGAAGCUGCAUGUAAUCUGACAAACUGCCUCCAGUGAUGUCAUUCAUUGACAUAGUUGCAUUGUGGGUAAUAUAGGUGCCAGGUUAUGAAAAGGAAGUAGAAUUUGUGGAAUAAAAAAAGGCGACAUUUCUGGUUCUGCUGUAUCGAUUUUGAUCAUGUGUUUUUAAACUGUGCAUAAUGAGUCCUGCCUACAUUACCCACAAUGCACUUUAGUGACAUCACUGGAGACAAUUUAUCAGAACGCAUGCAGCUGCCUUCUACAACCUUUUCCACUAUGUAUUUCUUGUCAUGUGACCAUGAUUGAUUGAGCAUUGAAAGCUGCACUAUCAGGGAUCAAAGAGGACGACCACCAGUAAAUGUUUCCCUGCAGAUAUUAAGGAACUACAUUUAGCUAGAAAAUGAACUCCAGGGAGAUGUCUCUGGUGGAGUGGCAUACCGUGAUGAUGAUUAGCUAAUGGGUAGCUAGCAAAGCAUUGUCUUAGAAUGAGGCAUGUGUUUGGAUUUUAGCUUUUACUUUGACCCCUCAAAUCACAUCCUUCUUGAAACUAAGCCAACGCUGAAGCAGCUCCUGCGUCUGUUUUGCUGUGAGUUAAUGGCAUAAUUCCCUCAAGAUUAGGUUACAUUAGAUUAUAAUCAUUAAUGUGUUGGAAAUCGUUCAGUUUCUCCAUGGUUACUCCUGUACCACUGAGGUUUUGUUGGUGGGGAGUGGUUCUGAAAAUCCACAUCGUCAAGCACAAGAAUAAAUUGAUAUAUUGGAUUUCUGUGAGUAGAAACAAGCAUACGCACGUUAGAUAAAUGAGGCCCCUGGUGUUUUGGCAUCAUGCAACUAUUCUCUAGUGUACCUGGGUUGUCCCUGCAGUCUCAUGUACGACAACUCUGAGUACUCUGUGGCGUUAAGACGAGCCACCGGGCUGCCCGUCUGCAACACCGACUCUACCGUAUGAGGUAAACUGAACACUUUAGCAACCAGAGAACACCACUUCCUGUCCAGGAGCACUGCCUGGCGACUAAGCGACUCAGCACGAACUCCUGCAACACCGCGUGAGCAUUAGCUGACCUGUCACUACCUUUUCGCCACUCCAUCGCUCCUAACUUGCUCAAUGGCCCAACAAGUUAGAAGAGAAAGCGAGCCAGUCUCAGAGCACUUAAGGUCCUAAAACAUGUAGGCAUGUACUGUCGUAAGGGGUUGAAAAUAAGCUCUAUUGGGACAAAAUACAAGCUGGAUAUAGAAGAAUCACAUACAUUUUUUGUUUUCAGAGAAACAAGACCCACAUGAAUGAUGGAUGAGCUGGUCCUGGCAGGCCCUCGAGCGACAUCUCAUACAAGGUAGUAAGACGACGCCUCAGAGGUGAUGGAGAGUAGGUAGUGGAACACAGUUGAUAUGUCAAAACAUUCUGGCACCUGAAAAAAUGCAGCAAAAAUCUAAAGGUAAUGAUGAGUGAGAGCGCACACUUCAUCGAUGUCCGUUUUUUCCUCCGACGUGCCAUCCAUACACACACCGAAAACGGAGGGAGAGGGUGGAGAGGGGAGGAAGGGAAAGGGAGGGGGGAGGAGGGACAAUAUGCUAGAAAACAUUUGGAUGGAAUAGAAACAAUGAGCAGGUUUCAAGUGGCAAGAGGUCAGUUCUUUAGGGGGGUGGUUCUCAAACAUCUCGGUUCGGUCGAUGUCCAAUCCCAGCACCCUUAGCUCCAGUUAAAACCCUCCCACUUCCUGUGGUUGAUGGUUCAUCUGCGGCAGAUUGUAGAGGCAUUUCCCGCACGUCUCGCCAGAUGUGUCCCUGGCGGCCAUGACACUGUAAAAGCCAUAAUCCUCUCGAGCGACAUCACUCUUUACAAGC
rnacentral:lncRNA from 1 species